AUGAGCAAGAAGGACUCAAGGGAGGAGGAGCGCCGACGUUACAAAAAAGAGCAAAUGAACGUCUUCAUGGAGAUCCAAAGGAAGAGGCUUGAGAUGGACGCAGAGAAGCAAGCCAAGAUGCUUGAGAUGGACGCGAAGAAGCAAGCCAAUAUUCUAGAGAUCGAGGUCGCCAACGCCAAGACCAAGGCGAAAGAAGUGGCUCUCGCGAGCAUGAUGACCGGGGUGGAGAUCAUGAAGGUGGAUCUCAACACCGUGUCGCCAAGGAAGAGGCCGUGGUUCGAUAAGAUGCAGGCCGACAUGCUCAAGUUUGACGAUGAGUGA
rnacentral:rRNA from 1 species